rnacentral:rRNA from 1 species
GAUGAACGCUGGCGGCGUGCCUAAUACAUGCAAGUCGAGCGAACAGACGAGGAGCUUGCUCCUCUGACGUUAGCGGCGGACGGGUGAGUAACACGUGGAUAACCUACCUAUAAGACUGGGAUAACUUCGGGAAACCGGAGCUAAUACCGGAUAAUAUAUUGAACCGCAUGGUUCAAUAGUGAAAGACGGUUUUGCUGUCACUUAUAGAUGGAUCCGCGCCGCAUUAGCUAGUUGGUAAGGUAACGGCUUACCAAGGCAACGAUGCGUAGCCGACCUGAGAGGGUGAUCGGCCACACUGGAACUGAGACACGGUCCAGACUCCUACGGGAGGCAGCAGUAGGGAAUCUUCCGCAAUAGGCGAAAGCCUGACGGAGCAACGCCGCGUGAGUGAUGAAGGGCUUCGGAUCGUAAAACUCUGUUAUUAGGGAAGAACAAAUGUGUAAGUAACUAUGCACGUCUUGACGGUACCUAAUCAGAAAGCCACGGCUAACUACGU